UUGAACAUGGAACAAACGGAACAAACAACGAUUGCAAACUACUUUGAAGUUUUCACAGUGUGCCUCUUUGCCUUGGCUGCAAGGUGAUGUGGUGAUGAGCAUUAAAUGGAGAUAGUAAUAUGCAGUGAUAAGGCUAUCUGGCAGGAGGAAGAGCACAUACCCUGGAGAGGAUAAACAGAGGUCGAUCAGGUCUAGGGUUUUAACCUUGGCCUGUGAGUGCAAGUCACCUCAUUCAGAUCUCUGAAGUGAUGAGCAGGUGAAAGUGGUAGAAUGCAUGUUUCUACCCUCCUGAGCUAGAACCUCCA